rnacentral:rRNA from 1 species
GAUGAACGCUGGCGGCGUGCCUAAUACAUGCAAGUCGAGCGAACAGACGAGGAUCUUGCUCCUCUGACGUUAGCGGCGGACGGGUGAGUAACACGUGGAUAACCGACCUAUAAGACUGGGAUAACUUCGGGAAACCGGAUCUAACACCGGAUAAUAUAUUGAACCGCAUGGUUCAUUAGUGAAAGACGGUUUUGCUGUCACUUAUAGAUGUAUCCGCGCCGCAUUAGCUAGUUGGUAAGGUAACGGCUUACCAAGGCAACGAUGCGUAGCCGACCUGAGAGGAUGAUCGGCCACACUGGAACUGAGACACGGUCCAGACUCCUACGGGAGGCAGCAGUAGGGAAUCUUCCGCAAUGGGCGAAAGCUUGACGGAGCAACGCCGCGUGAGUGAUGAAGGUCUUCGGAUCGUAAAACUCUGUUAUUAGGGAAGAACAACUGUGUAAGUAACUCUGCACGUCUUGACGGUACCUACUCAGAAAGCCACGGCUAACUACGUG